UACGUAGGGUGCGAGCGUUGUCCGGAAUUAUUGGGCGUAAAGAGCUCGUAGGCGGUCUGUCGCGUCUGCUGUGAAAUCCCGAGGCUCAACCUCGGGCCUGCAGUGGGUACGGGCAGACUAGAGUGCGGUAGGGGAGAUUGGAAUUCCUGGUGUAGCGGUGGAAUGCGCAGAUAUCAGGAGGAACACCGGUGGCGAAGGCGGUUCUCUGGGCCUUACCUGACGCUGAGGAGCGAAAGCGUGGGGAGCGAACAGG
rnacentral:rRNA from 1 species